rnacentral:rRNA from 2 species
UGGGGAAUAUUGGGCAAUGGGCGAAAGCCUGACCCAGCGACGCCGCGUGAGGGAAGAAGGUCUUCGGAUUGUAAACCUUAGUCAACAGGGAAGAAACAAAUGACGGUACCUGUGGAGGAAGCCACGGCUAACUACGUGCCAGCAGCCGCGGUAAUACGUAGGUGGCUAGCGUUAUCCGGAUUUACUGGGUGUAAAGGGUGUGUAGGCGGGGAGGCAAGUCAGAUGUGAAAUUUAUGAGCUUAACUCAUGAACUGCAUUUGAAACUGUCUUUCUUGAGGAUGGGAGAGGUAAAUGGAAUUCCCGGUGUAGCGGUGAAAUGCGUAGAGAUCGGGAGGAACACCAGUGGCGAAGGCGGUUUACUGGACCAUUACUGACGCUGAUACACGAAAGCGUGGGGAGCAAACAGG